GAUGAACGCUAGCGAUAGGCUUAACACAUGCAAGUCGGGGGGCAGCAUGGUCUUAGCUUGCUCAGACUGAUGGCGACCGGCGCACGGGUGCGUAACGCGUAUGCAACUUGCCUCACAGAGGGGGAUAACCCGUCGAAAGACGGACUAAUACCGCGUACACUCCAUCUUGGGCAUCCAAGGUAGAGGAAAUGAAAUUCGCUGUGAGAUAGGCAUGCGUCCCAUUAGCUAGUUGGUGAGGUAACGGCUCACCAAGGCGACGAUGGGUAGGGGAACUGAGAGGUUGAACCCCCACACUGGUACUGAGACACGGACCAGACUCCUACGGGAGGCAGCAGUGAGGAAUAUUGGUCAAUGGGCGAGAGCCUGAACCAGCCAAGUCGCGUGAAGGAUGACUGUCUUAUGGAUUGUAAACUUCUUUUAUACGGGAAUAACAAGAGUCACGUGUGACUCCCUGCAUGUACCGUAUGAAUAAGCAUCGGCUAACUCCGUG
rnacentral:rRNA from 1 species